GCCGGGCUAGCUCAAUCGGUAGAGCGUGUGGCUCUUAAAGAUCGCUGAUCUGCCACCACAAGGCUGCGAGUUCGAGCCUCGCGUUCGGCU